AUUGAACGCUGGCGGCAGGCCUAACACAUGCAAGUCGGACGGUAGCACAGAGGAGCUUGCUCCUCGGGUGACGAGUGGCGGACGGGUGAGUAAUGCCUGGGGAUCUGCCCGAUGGAGGGGGAUACCCACUGGAAACGGUGGCUAAUACCGCAUAACGUCCCAAGACCAAAGAGGGGGACCUUCGGGCCUCUCACUAACGUAUGAACCAAGAUGGGAUUAGCUAGUAGGCGGGGUAACGGCCCACCUAGGCGACGGUCCCUAGCUGGCUCUGAGAGGAUGACCAGCCACACUGGAACUGAGACACGGUCCAGACUCCUACGGGAGGCAGCAGUGGGGAAUAUUGCACAAUGGGCGCAAGCCUGAUGCAGCCAUGCCGCGUGUAUGAAGAAGGCCUUCGGGUUGUAAAGUACUUUCAGCGGGGAGGAAGGCGAUAAGGUUAAUAACCUUGUCGAUUGACGUUACCCGCAGAAGAAGCACCGGCUAACUCCGUGCCAGCCGCCGCAGUAA
rnacentral:rRNA from 1 species